rnacentral:rRNA from 1 species
GACGAACGCUGGCGGCGUGCUUAACACAUGCAAGUCGAACGAGUGGCGAACGGUUGAGUACCAAUUUGUUGAUCUGCCUUGCACUCUGGGAUAAGCUUGGAAACCUGGGUCUAAUACCUGCUAGUGCAAGAUGAGCUCGCGGCCUAUCAGCUUGUUGGUGGGGUAAUGGCUACCAAGGCGCGACGGGUAGCCGGCCUGAGAGGGUGUACGGCCACAUUGGGACUGAGAUACGGCCCAGACUCCUACGGGAGGCAGCAGUGGGGAAUAUUGCACAAUGGGCGGAAGCCUGAUGCAGCGACGCCGCGUGAGUGAAGAAGGUUUUCGGAUCGUAAAACUCUGUUGUUAGAAAAGCGGUAUCUAACCAGAAAGCCACGGCUAACUACGUGCCAGCAGCCGCGGUAAUAC